AAAAGCGUAGGCAGUAGGGCGUAUGGAGUAGGGAGUAAAGCGUAGGCAGUAGGGCGUAUGGAGUAGGGACUAAAGCAUAGGGAGUAGGGCAUAUGGAGCAGAGAGUAAAGCGUAGGCAGUAAGGCGUAUGGAGUAGGGAGUAAAGCGUAGGCAGUAGGGCGUAGGGAGCAUGGAGUAGGGCGUAGGGAAUAGGCAGGACCGCUUUUGAAUGGGGCGCGCGGUGAGACUGGCCUUUCUCGGAUAGAGACCGUAUGUUACUGUGGUAACGACUAUAAACAACAUUAUGAAUGGUUAGCAAAUAGCUAAAACGCCAGUAUUUAUACCGUCUGUGUUAAAUUUAUUUGUUGUCAGAUCUUAAUUAUUAUAUGAAGCACUUCGCUUCGCUUAACUUGAGGUAAGUUAGCUGACUGGUCACUCAAUAAAAGCCGACUGAAAAAUGUCAGACGUUGACGAGGACGAGGUGUUCCAGGGGGAUUCAGAGGGAGAAGAGCAGAACGAAGAUAUUCAAGAAGAGGAAACGUCUGAAAAGGAUCAGAUCGAGGCCUGUCCUUUGACACAGGACACGAUAGUCCAAGGCCUGUCUUUACUGUGCCGCACAGGGAAUGGACUCGCUCAUGCAUUUGUCAAACUUGAUCUAAAAGAAAGGCACCUGACCGAUAUUGUCUUGCUGAGCUCCUUUGUCCAUCUGCGUUUCUUGGACAUCUCCUCCAAUUACCUGACAGACCUUUCUCCGCUGGCUGCCUUAACACAGCUUCUUUGGCUAAAGGGUGAUAGCAAUCGGCUUCAAAGGUUUAAAGGUCUGCCGCUGGAUCAGCUCACAUACCUGCAAUGGCUCAGCCUAGCGGUCAAUCGUCUGUGUGAUAUGGAGGGGCUUGGUGGGCCUUCCCUGGAAACCCUUAAUCUAAUUGGUAAUGGCAUUCAGAAGGUUUUUGGUCUUGAAUAUCACAGACUGACCAAUUUGGUCACUCUAGAGCUGCGAGGGAACAGCUUAGAAACUACAGAUGGAAUUUACCUCCCCAACUUGCGUCGUCUUUAUCUGGCCCAGAAUAAAAUAAAACGGUUAGGAGGUCUGGAGAAACUGGAGCGCUUAACAAUUCUUCAUCUCAGAGACAACCAGCUAGAGACACUCGAUGGAAUCAGUCCCAGUAUGAAAUCUCUGCAGUACCUUAAUGUCAGGGGCAACUUGGUACCAUCCCAGCAGGCACUGCAAAGCCUGAUGGGAGUUGCGCACACACUGCGGGCCCUGGUGUUGGCAGAGAACCCUCUCUCAGAGACGGAGGAUUACCGGCUCUCUGUGCUCGCACAACUCCCAUUUCUUGAAAGACUAGACAAGGAGUCUGUUUCCUCUGAGGAGAGGUCUGAAGCUCAAGAAAGAUUCAGGGAAUUUCAAGACUCCCCAGAACAAGAGGACCAUUAAAUGUGACGAUAGGGAACAGAGUUACAUUCAUUCGUCUGCAUUUCUGUUAAAGACAUUGUUGGCCACAGCGCCUCACCAAGGACUAAUUUCGUCUUCAUGGACGACAAUGCUUCAGCUCAUCGAGGUCACAUCAUUAGGGAACGGCUGUGGUUCCUCAAAUGGACUGGCCUGCACUUUCUCCAGACCUGAAUCCCAUAGAAAACCUAUGGGAUCAGCUGUGUCGUCGUGUAGAGGCUCGUAACUCUGUACCCCAGAACCUCAAUGACCUGAGGGUCGCCCUUGAAGAAGAGUGGGAUGCCAUGCAUCAGCAGACAAUAAGUUGACUUGUGAACAGCAUGAGACGUCAUUGUCAAGCUGUAAUUGAUGCUCACGGGCACAUGAUAAGUUAUUGAGACAUUGACAUUUUUUAUUGGGGUAUACGCACCACUGUUGUUGGCUUUUGUUUCAAUAAAUUGUUUG